UACGUAGGGUGCAAGCGUUAAUCGGAAUUACUGGGCGUAAAGCGUGCGCAGGCGGCUUUGCAAGUCAGAUGUGAAAUCCCCGAGCUCAACUUGGGAACUGCAUUUGAAACUACAGAGCUAGAAUAUGUCAGAGGGAGGUAGAAUUCCACGUGUAGCAGUGAAAUGCGUAGAGAUGUGGAGGAAUACCGGUGGCGAAGGCGGCCUCCUGGGAUAAUAUUGACGCUCAUGUACGAAAGCGUGGGGAGCAAACAGG
rnacentral:rRNA from 1 species